rnacentral:rRNA from 1 species
UGGGGAAUCUUGCACAAUGGGGGAAACCCUGAUGCAGCGACGCCGCGUGAGCGAUGAAGGUUUUCGAAUCGUAAAGCUCUGUCCUAUGGGAAGAUAAUGACGGUACCAUGGGAGGAAGCCCCGGCUAACUACGUGCCAGCAGCCGCGGUAAUACGUAGGGGGCGAGCGUUGUCCGGAAUUACUGGGCGUAAAGGGUUCGCAGGCGGCAUGGCAAGUCCGAUGUAAAAGGCGAAGGCUCAACCUUCGUAAGCAUCGGAAACUGUCAAGCUUGAGUGAAGGAGAGGCAAGUGGAAUUCCUAGUGUAGCGGUGGAAUGCGUAGAUAUUAGGAAGAAUACCGGUGGCGAAGGCGACUUGCUGGACUUCAACUGACGCUGAGGAACGAAAGCGUGGGUAGCAAACAGG